UACAGAGGUCUCAAGCGUUGUUCGGAUUCAUUGGGCGUAAAGGGUGCGUAGGCGGCGCGGUAAGUCGGGUGUGAAAUCUUGGAGCUUAACUCCGAAACUGCAUUCGAUACUGCCGUGCUUGAGGACUGGAGAGGAGACUGGAAUUUACGGUGUAGCGGUGAAAUGCGUAGAUAUCGUAAGGAAGACCAGUGGCGAAGGCGGGUCUCUGGACAGUUCCUGACGCUGAGGCACGAAGGCCCAGGGGGAGCAAAACAGG
rnacentral:rRNA from 1 species